rnacentral:rRNA from 1 species
GGGUCAGUAGGUUGUUCGUGCCACCGGUACGUACUGGUCUCACUGAUUCCUCCUUCCUGAAGAACCGUAAUGCCAUUAAUUUGGUGUUGCGGGGAAACAGGACUGUUACUUUGAAAAAAUUAGAGUGUUUAAAGCAAGCUAACGCUUGAAUACAUUAGCAUGGAAUAAUGAAAUAGGACGAUCGAUCCUAUUUUUUUGGUUUCUAGGAUUGACGUA